rnacentral:rRNA from 1 species
GAUGAACGCUAGCGGCAGGCUUAAUACAUGCAAGUCGUGGGGCAGCAUGAGUGUAGCAAUACAUUUGAUGGCGACCGGCAAACGGGUGCGGAACACGUACACAACCUUCCUAUAAGUGGGGAAUAGCCCAGAGAAAUUUGGAUUAAUACCCCGUAACAUAACGAUGUGGCAUCACAUUGUUAUCAUAGCUUCGGCGCUUAUUGAUGGGUGUGCGGCUGAUUAGAUAGUUGGCGGGGUAACGGCCCACCAAGUCUACGAUCAGUAGCUGAUGUGAGAGCAUGAUCAGCCACACGGGCACUGAGACACGGGCCCGACUCCUACGGGAGGCAGCAGUAAGGAAUAUUGGUCAAUGGACGCAAGUCUGAACCAGCCAUGCCGCGUGAAGGAUUAAGGUCCUCUGGAUUGUAAACUUCUUUUAUCUGGGACGAAAAAAGGCUUUUCUAAGUCACUUGACGGUACCAGAUGAAUAAGCACCGGCUAACUCCGUGCCAGCAGCCGCCGUAAUAC